GACAGAGGUCCCGAGCGUUAGGCGGAAUCACUGGGCUUAAAGCGUGUGUAGGCGGAUCGUUAAGUGCCUUGUGAAAUCCCACGGCUCAACCGUGGAACUGCUCGGCAUACUGGCGAUCUUGAGCCACCUAGGGGCAACCGGAACAAAUGGUGGAGCGGUGAAAUGCGUAGAUAUCAUUUGGAACGCCAAUGGUGAAAACAGGUUGCUGGGGGUGUGCUGACGCUGAGACACGAAAGCCAGGGGAGCGAACGGG
rnacentral:rRNA from 1 species